rnacentral:rRNA from 1 species
GACCUCCGCUCAGGCGGGGCUACCUGCUGAGUUUAAGCAUAUCAAUAAACAAAGGAAAAGAAACUAAUGAGGAUUUCCCUGGUAAUGGCGAGCGAACCGGGAACACCC